GACGAACGCUGGCGGCGUGCUUAACACAUGCAAGUCGAACGGUGAAGCGCCUUCCUUUUUGGUGGGUGUGGAUGAGCGGCGAACGGGUGAGUAACACGUGAGUAACCUGCCCCCUUCUUCUGGAUAAUCGCAUGAAAGUGUGGCUAAUACGGGAUAUUCUGGGUCUGUCGCAUGAUGGGUCUGGGAAAGAUAUUGUUUCGGUGGGGGAUGGGCUCGCGGCCUAUCAGCUUGUUGGUGGGGUGAUGGCCUACCAAGGCGGUGACGGGUAGCCGGCCUGAGAGGGUGGACGGUCACACUGGGACUGAGACACGGCCCAGACUCCUACGGGAGGCAGCAGUGGGGAAUAUUGCACAAUGGGCGCAAGCCUGAUGCAGCGACGCCGCGUGAGGGAUGGAGGCCUUCGGGUUGUGAACCUCUUUCGCCAGUGAAGCAGGCCUGCCUCGUUUGUGGGUGGGUUGACGGUAGCUGGAUAAGAAGCGCCGGCUAACUACGUG
rnacentral:rRNA from 1 species